rnacentral:lncRNA from 1 species
AAUAACAUAGAUUUGAAAUUUAGAAAAUAAUUGUAUGAGGCAUCCAUAGAUACUAAGAAGAAAAUACCAAUAAUUAUAAGAUAGAAUUUUAAUAUCAAUCAAGCAAAGUAGUACUUAAACAUAACCAUAGUACAUAACCAAGAUAAGUAAUAAACAUAAACUUAGAACAUAAAGUUUAAGUCUUAAAGUAAAUAACCAAAAGGAAAUAGAACAUAGCAUAAGACAAGAUAAUAC